rnacentral:rRNA from 1 species
AACGAACGCUGGCGGCAUGCCUAACACAUGCAAGUCGAACGAGACCUUCGGGUCUAGUGGCGCACGGGUGCGUAACGCGUGGGAACCUGCCCUUAGGUUCGGAAUAACUCCCCGAAAGGGGUGCUAAUACCGGAUAAUGUCUUCGGACCAAAGAUUUAUCGCCUUUGGAUGGGCCCGCGUUGGAUUAGCUAGUUGGUAGGGUAAAAGCCUACCAAGGCGACGAUCCAUAGCUGGUCUGAGAGGAUGAUCAGCCACACUGGGACUGAGACACGGCCCAGACUCCUACGGGAAGCAGCAGUGGGGAAUAUUGGACCAUGGGCGAAAGCCUGAUCCAGCAAUGCCGCGUGAGUGAUGAAGGCCUUAGGGUUGUAAAGCUCUUUUACCCGGGAUGAUAAUGACAGUACCGGGAGGAUAAGCUCCGGCUAACUCCGUG